ACCAAUCAGAUCGCCUUAUUUCUCACGGUCCCUCUUCAAACAUUUACUACAAAGUCAAUAACGUUCAAUAGCCUCCAGGUCUGGAGAUAAACUAGUCUGGGUUAUUUUGGAUAUGUAUCAUGCUUCAGAAUAAGAUUCACCUCUUCAGAACAUGACACUUGGGCAACCACAGAUGCUGUAAAAUCGUCUAUUAAAGAUGGCGGCAACGUUUUCAUUCCCCAGCCCUGAAGUUAUCCUCCGUCAUCCCUAGGAGAGUGUGAAUCAAAAGUCCUUUUACACCAGCACUACCAAAA